GGCACCUCAUCUCAUCACUUACUGGUGUACAUCAGUGCAGAAGAUUGAUGAUACAACAUUCAAGAUUAAUAGAAAACUAUUUUUUCCAGGAUAUUGGUUUCUAUGUGUUCUGAGCUCUAACAUCCAUUGAAAUUCACAUAAAAUUAUAUCACAGUGAUAAACAAGAAGCAGCCGCUUCGUCGAACAGUCAUAUAAGAUUAAUAUGUUAAAGGAUGUAUACACAUAUGUACUAGUGAUUGCUACCUAAAUUUAAAGCACAACAAAUAACUUUAACAGCAGAUUCUCAAAAAUGGGAACAUAGAGUAGAGAGAACAAAAGUGGGAGCUGAAAAUUAUUAAAAUUAAAAAUCACUAAAGGUUGUAUCUUGGAGUACUUGUUUUCCUACACACUGAUCUGUUUACAAGUGCAGAAGUCUUCCUACAAUCAGGUUAAUGUAAUCAUUACAAUCCUCUUCAGGAAUUAAGAUUAAGAUAUUCUUUCACCUCUGGCUCAUACUGAAGGGAUAAAAAUAUCCUCUAUCUUCUGUCAGCAAGCAUCCACAAGCAAAUUUAAUCUUGACCUUUUAAGUCGAAUUGAUAAUGAUGACAGAGUUAUGUGGAAAAAAAAACAUCAUACAUUGGACUCUAACCAACAAUCAUGUUCACAGAAAAUUCUGGUGUCUUUUAUGGGAAAUAGAAAAAUGUCACGUUGACACAAUAGGUUUGGAUCCAGUAGAUGAUGCCCUCUUUUCCAUCUGCACAUAAUAUCCCAAUGGUGGUACGUUGCACCAACUGCCAAAAGCUCGGGUGGGGCGAUAGGUGUCGGAGGUUCUGCAAUGUCAAACAAAGGCAACGAGCUCAAUCACUGAUAAACUGGAAUUUAAAAUGUGAGCUUCGAGACUUCAUCACUCUACAAGGCAAAGUAGUUCCGGCAUUCCCAGUAGAACAAAGAACAAUGCAAAGCUACAAGACUAGCAAACGACCAAUGUGC